AGUGAACGCUGGCGGCAGGCCUAACACAUGCAAGUCGAACGGCAGCACAAGAGACCUUGCUCUCUGGGUGGCGAGUGGCGGACGGGUGAGGAAUGCAUCGGAAUCUGCCCAUUGGUGGGGGAUAACCUCGGGAAACCGGGACUAAUACCGCAUACGACCUACGGGUGAAAGCAGGGGAUCUUCGGACCUUGCGCAGAUGGAUGAGCCGAUGCCGGAUUAGCUAGUUGGCGGGGUAAAGGCCCACCAAGGCGACGAUCCGUAGCUGGUCUGAGAGGAUGAUCAGCCACACUGGGACUGAGACACGGCCCAGACUCCUACGGGAGGCAGCAGUGGGGAAUAUUGGACAAUGGGCGAAAGCCUGAUCCAGCCAUGCCGCGUGUGUGAAGAAGGCCUUCGGGUUGUAAAGCACUUUUGUUGGGAAAGAAAAGCAGCCGGUUAAUACCCGGUUGUCAUGACGGUACCCAAAGAAUAAGCACCGGCUAACUUCGUG
rnacentral:rRNA from 1 species